rnacentral:rRNA from 1 species
GACGAACGCUGGCGGCGUGCCUAAUACAUGCAAGUAGAACGCACAGUUUAUACCGUAGCUUGCUACACCAUAGACUGUGAGUUGCGAACGGGUGAGUAACGCGUAGGUAACCUGCCUGGUAGCGGGGGAUAACUAUUGGAAACGAUAGCUAAUACCGCAUAAUAUUGAUUAUUGCAUGAUAAUUAAUUGAAAGGUGCAAUUGCACCACUACCAGAUGGACCUGCGUUGUAUUAGCUAGUAGGUGAGGUAACGGCUCACCUAGGCGACGAUACAUAGCCGACCUGAGAGGGUGAUCGGCCACACUGGGACUGAGACACGGCCCAGACUCCUACGGGAGGCAGCAGUAGGGAAUAUUCGGCAAUGGACGAAAGUCUGACCGAGCAACGCCGCGUGAGUGAAGAAGGUUUUCGGAUCGUAAAGCUCUGUUGUAAGAGAAGAACGGGUGUGAGAGUGGAAAGUGCACACUGUGACGGUAUCUUACCAGAAAGGGACGGCUAACUACGU